GGGGAUGUCACGGAUUUGACAGACACAUGGAGAUUGUCAGUAAGCAUAUCGCAGGGCAUACUGCGUCAAAAAUAGCAACUAAAUAUAAAUGCAAGCCCAAGAAUGGCUUACGCUGCUGCUUAAUUAUAGCGCACGUUGCUUUUGGUUUUGUCUCACGAAAAAUCAAAAGUAUUAUUUAAGUGAGUAAGGUUUUGAAUGUGCUGUUCUAAUUUUCAAAACAUGAUAACAGAACUUUGACAACAUUUGCAUUUUUCCAUCUGCAAAGUUGCCGAGAACAAAAUGGAAUAAGUAUGUAGAAGGGAUAAUCAAAGCGUGUUUGGACGCGAGUUCAACCCUCGCCAUCUCCACCA
rnacentral:tmRNA from 1 species